rnacentral:rRNA from 1 species
AAUGAACGCUGGCGGCAGGCCUAACACAUGCAAGUCGAGCGGAGCGGCGGACGGGUGAGUAAUGUCUGGGAAACUGCCUGAUGGAGGGGGAUAACGUCCGGAAACGGGCGCUAAUACCGCAUACUAUCAGAUGAGCCUAGGUAGGAUUCGCUAGUUGGUGGGGUAAAGGCCUACCAAGGAGACGAUCCGUAACUGGUCUGAGAGGAUGAUCAGCCACACUGGAACUGAGACACGGUCCAGACUCCGACGGGAGGCAGCAGUGGGGAAUAUUGGACAAUGGGCGAAAGCCUGAUCCAGCCAUGCCGCGUGUGUGAAGAAGGUCUUCGGAUUGUAAAGCACUUUAAGUUGGGAGGCGGUACCAACAGAAUAAGCACCGGCUAACUACGUGCCAGCCGCCGCGGUAAUAC